rnacentral:rRNA from 1 species
UACGGAGGAUCCGAGCGUUAUCCGGAUUUAUUGGGUUUAAAGGGUGCGCAGGCGGGAGAUUAAGUCGGCGGUGAAAUUUUGCAGCUUAACUGUAAAAGUGCCUUCGAAACUGGUUUCCUUGAGUGUAGAUGAAGUAGGCGGAAUUUGUGGUGUAGCGGUGAAAUGCAUAGAUAUCACGAGGAACUCCGAUUGCGCAGGCAGCUUACUAAACUACUACUGACGCUCAGGCACGAAGGCGUGGGGAUCAAACAGGAUUAGAUACCCUGGUAGUCCACGCAGUAAACGAUGAUUACUCGCUGUUUGCGAUAUACAGUAAGCGGCUUAGCGAAAGCGUUAAGUAAUCCACCUGGGGAGUACGUUCGCAAGAAUGAA